GGUAUGCACUGGCUUCGCUGAUUCCUCCUUCCUGAAGAACUGUAAUGCCAUUAAUUUGGUGUUGCAGGGAAACAGGACUGUUACUUUGAAAAAAUUAGAGCGUUUAAAGCAGGCUAACGCUUGAAUACAUUAGCAUGGAAUAAUGAAAUAGGACGUUUGAUCCUAUUUUGUUGGUUUCUAGGAUUGACGUAAUGAUUAAUAGGGAUAGUUGGGGGCAUUAGUAUUCAAUUGUCAGAGGUGAAAUUCUUGGAUUUAUUGAAGACUGACUACUGCGAAAGCAUUUGCCAAGGAUGUUUUCAUUAAUCAAGAACGAAAGUUAGGGGAUCGAAGACGAUCAGAUACCGUCGUAGUCUUAACCAUAAACUAUGCCGACUAGGGAUCGGAUGAUGUUAAUUUUUUAAUGACUCAUU
rnacentral:rRNA from 1 species